AAGUCGUAACAAGGUUUCCGUAGGUGAACCUGCGGAAGGAUCAUUAACACGUAUCCACGUAUCAACCAAUGAGAACCUGUUUUCCCGUCUCCCUGUGCAAAGAAUGAAUUGGAACCAGUUUGAGGGAGUGAUGGGACCGAAAGGUCGGCCUUCCUGGUAUACUUAUGUAAAUAGAAAUAUUUGCAUAGACAAUUGAAUUUUUGUUGCAGGCUAUUUCUUAUCGCUUUGAUCCCCAUCAUGAUCGUGGCGGUCGGGAAACUUUCACUAAAUUUACCUUUUUUGCUAGUUGACUUUUUAUAUGUGUUAUUUUGCGAAAGCAUGGUGGCACACGUUUAUUAAUUGAACGUUAAAAAAUACAACUCUUAGCAAUGGAUAUCUCGGUUCUC
rnacentral:misc_RNA from 1 species